CCUACGGGAGGCAGCAGUGAGGAAUAUUGGUCAAUGGGCGCGAGCCUGAACCAGCCAAGUAGCGUGAAGGAUGACUGCCCUACGGGUUGUAAACUUCUUUUAUAAAGGAAUAAAGUGAGGCACGUGUGCCUUUUUGUAUGUACUUUAUGAAUAAGGAUCGGCUAACUCCGUGCCAUCCGCCGCGGUAAUACGGAGGAUCCGCGCGUUCUCCGGAUUUAUUGGGUUUAAAGGGAGCGUAGAUGGGUGGUUAAGUCAGUUGUGAAAGUUUGCGGCUCAACCGUAAAAUUGCAAGUGAUACUGGCAGACUUGAGUACAGUUGAGGUAGGCGGAAUGCGUGGUGUAGCGGUGAAAUGCUUAGAUAUCACGAAGAACUCCGAUUGCGAAGGCAGCCUACUAAACUGCCACUGACAUUGAUGCUCGAAAGUGUGGGUAUCAAACAGGAUUAGAGACCCGAGUAGUC
rnacentral:rRNA from 1 species